UGGGGAAUAUUGCACAAUGGGCGCAAGCCUGAUGCAGCCAUGCCGCGUGUGUGAAGAAGGCCUUCGGGUUGUAAAGCACUUUCAGCGGGGAGGAAGGCGGUGAGGUUAAUAACCUCAUCGAUUGACGUUACCCGCAGAAGAAGCACCGGCUAACUCCGUGCCAGCAGCCGCGGUAAUACGGAGGGUGCAAGCGUUAAUCGGAAUUACUGGGCGUAAAGCGCACGCAGGCGGUUGAUUGAGUCAGAUGUGAAAUCCCCGGGCUCAACCUGGGAACUGCAUCUGAUACUGGCAAGCUUGAGUCUCGUAGAGGGGGGUAGAAUUCCAGGUGUAGCGGUGAAAUGCGUAGAGAUCUGGAGGAAUACCGGUGGCGAAGGCGGCCCCCUGGACGAAGACUGACGCUCAGGUGCGAAAGCGUGGGGAGCAAACAGG
rnacentral:rRNA from 1 species